rnacentral:misc_RNA from 1 species
UGAAAACCUUCAAAUUUGCCUCUAUUAUGAUAGUUUGCUAUAUUCUGUUGGCAAUGUAUCAUGAUAUUGAUGAUUGUAGACAUAUUGCUUCUCAAAAUUUGUCUUGCACUGCUGAAGUUAAGCCAGAAUUAUAUGAGUAAACAAGGUUGUAUUAUUUAUGAAAUAAUAGAAGAUCAAAGCAGUAUCUCCUUCAGUCAUUUAUCCGGGAUUUGGGACCCUAGUAGAAUGUUUCCAAGCGUUCAGAAAUGUGAUGAAUGGAGAACUCAAAAUACUGAUGAAAAGGGCAAAAAUAUGCAGGGCAUUACAGCUGGUGCUGUGAAAGUUGUUAAUUCUGAUAAAAGUUCAUUUAAUAUCUGUUCUCCUAAUAUAUCUGCAAUGAUGAAAGAAACUUUAGAUCACAGCCAGUUGGUUAAAGAAUUUGAUGAUUUACUAUUUGAAUUAUCCUCUAAUAAGUGCAAUUCGAAGUUACCUAUUAAUGAAUUUGAUUGUCUUUCUGUUUGUUGUGAUAGUUCUUAUGCUGAAAAUUGCAAGUAUGUGCCAAAAGAUGAAAAUAUUCCUGAGAAAAAUUUGAAAUCUGGAAUUAUUUUGAAACAGAAAGACAAAAAUUUUAAUUUAAAAAUUUCUGCACAUGAUAUUGGUAUUGAAAAAACAUUGAAAAUGGAUUAUAAAACUCCUUCCAUCUCCAAAAACGUAUGUGAUGAUGUGAAAUGCAACAGUGAUGUAUCUCAAGUAGGCUCUAAGAAGCUUUUGGAUACUUGUAAUAUGUACCAUAAUGAUAAGGAGAGUAGUCACCCUGUUAUCAUUGAUGACAUUGCAGCACCAGUUGAAUCAGAUAAUUUACAUUGGAUAAAUUCUGUUCUUUGGGAUUAUCAAGAGUCUAGUUCAAGUUCUAAUCAAAAAGAAGCCAUUAUUUUUGGAAUCCAAAAACAGGAUAAAAUUCAUAAUUCUUAUCAAGAAGAUGUGAAUAAUGACAAAAAAACAGUAUCUAAUGUACUAGAAAGUAGUUUAAUGAAAUCGCAUCUUAAUGAAAGUAUGUUCGUCGGAGAAUUUUCUGAUGUGAUACCAAUGACAAGAUGUGUAAUAAAAGGUUCUUCCAAAUUUAAAGAAAAGCAUAUUCCACCAUACAUGUACAAGAAACAGCCUAUGGGUGUAUACAGAGUAUCUGAAUUAGUAUGUCCGGAUUCUUUAAAAUCAUCUUAUCAGAAGAGAGCGAGAGAGUUGGAAAUGUCUAAUUCCAUGAAAUGCUUCUUAGUGAACUUAUAUAUUGAAGCUAAAGACAGACAUUCAGGCCCAUUUUUAUUUGAAAUUUAUCCAAAAAUGACCUUAAGACUUUUGAAGUUGAAGGUCGAACAAGAAUAUGAUAUUGCUGUUUCUGCACAAAUGUGGAUUCUUGGCAGAACAUUAGCUGUUGAUAAUGAUAUGUCAUUAUAUCAUUAUGGUGUACUUCCAGGAUCACCAAUAUUUUUAUAUGUUGAUUCUGCAUACAAAAUGCCAGUCCAUAAAAUUCCCCAUAAGCCAGUGUCAGAGCCUGCAGUUAAUAGGAGAGAGAGCAGUAUUAAUGUAACCAUUAUUGAUAAAGUAUCUAAUAAAACUGAAGGCAAAAGCAUAAAUAAAAGUAAAAGAAUUCCUUUUGAAGUAAAAAAACAUAAGAAAGACCGAAAUAUAUCUAAAAAAUUGUUAGAACCUCUCCAAGAUCAGGUUUGCCAUGCUAAAUCAAAACAAAUUAAAUCUGAGAAUAUUUCAAAUGCAUCUGAGUCUACUAAGAAACUAAAUCAGAAUUUGUAUUUAGCUGAAUUAGAACCAAUUAUAAAUCUAGAUGCUUUAAAAAAUAAUUCUCAAAAUAAAGAUGAAUCAAUUUCUCAGUUGUUAUCCGAAACAGAUCAAAAUAAAGAUUAUGUGUUGUUAUCUGAAGUUGAUAGAUCUGUAUGUCAUGAAUUAUUGCAAUUAAAGGAAAAUAAAAGCAAUGAAAUACAGUCAGAACCUGAGGAAGCUAUGAACAGUGGAUUGCAUAGUGCCAAAAGGGAAAAAAAUGUUAACAUUUCCAAUAGUGAAAAAGUCUUUUUCCAAAAUCCAGAAAAUAAUGAUUUAGAAAAUAACACAGUAUCAUCUAAUUCUUUUGAUAUCUUUGAGAACAAUUUUGAGUUGUCUGAUUCUAAGCAAGACUAUUUGAGAAAUCAAAUUUUUGCUGAAAAUUUUCCUCAAAACUUUCAAGAUGCAGAGCAUCAAGAAGUAUCAGAUUUCUCAGAAAAAAAAUUAGGUUGUGAAAUUAUGAGUGUUAAUUCUGUACAGCCUACUGCCAAAGCAAAAAGUGAUAAAAUUUCGAUUCUAAGGAGGUUAAGUCUGAAGCAUAGAAGAAAAUCAAAAGAGACUGAAAUAGAUGAAGUGUUGAAUAGUAACAGUGAAGUGCUUAUGGCAUCAUCUCUUAAUGAUACUGUGGCAGAAAAUAUUCAACUUGAGAAUGAUUGUAGUACAAAAUUCAUAGAAAUUGUAAAUGCCCCAUGUCAGGAUGGAAAAAUUCAUGAAGAUACUAAGGAACAAUGUAACAGCGUAUCUGAAGAAUCAGCAAAAAAUUACGAAUCUCUUUUAGAGACUGAAAAUAUGGAUCUGGUAAAAAACAGCGUUCCUUUUAUGUGUCCAGUUUGUUUUAGUGACAUUGGAACUUCUCAAGGGGUUAUUUUGCAUGAUUGUCUUCAUUCUUUUUGUCAGAUUGUUUAGCCAGAACUGUAGAAUAUUCUGAAAGUACUCUUAUUAAAUGCCCAUAUCGAGAUGAUGAUUAUUCUUGCCAGAGCUAUUUGCAACAACGGGAAAUAAAAGCUCUUGUUUCUAAAGAUAUGUAUGAGAAGUAUCUUCGCC